CGGUUGAUCCUGCCGGAGGCUACUGCUAUCGGGGUUCGAUUAAGCCAUGCGAGUUAAAUGUUCUUCGUGAACAUAGCGAACUGCUCAGUAACACGUGGAUAACCUACCCUUAGGACCGGAAUAACCCCGGGAAACUGGGGAUAAUACCGGAUAAGCCAUAGACGCUGGAAUGCCCUAUGGUUCAAAGCUCCGGCGCCUAAGGAUGGAUCUGCGGUCUAUCAGGUUGUAGUGGGUGUAACGUACCUACUAGCCGACGACGGAUACGGGUUGUGAGAGCAAGAGCCCGGAGAUGGAUUCUGAGACACGAAUCCAGGCCCUACGGGGUGCAGCAGGCGCGAACACUUUACAAUGCGGGAAACCGCGAUAAGGGAACCCCGAGUGCCAGCAUCAAAUGUUGGCUGUCCAGAUGAUUAAAAAUCAUUUGUUAGCAAGGGCCGGGCAAGACCGGUGCCAGCCGCCGCGGUAACACCGGCGGCCCGAGUGGUAGCCGUUUUUAUUGGGUCUAAAGGGUCCGUAGCCGGCUUGAUAAGUCCUUUGGGAAAUCUGGCAGCUUAACUGUCAGGCUUCUAAGGGAUACUGUCAGGCUUGGGACCGGAAGAGGUAAGGGGUACUCCAGGGGUAGGAGUGAAAUCUUGUAAUCCCUGGGGGACCAUCUGUGGCGAAGGCGCCUUACCAGAACGGGUCCGACGGUGAGGGACGAAAGCUAGGGGAGCAAACCGGAUUAGAUACCCGGGUAGUCCUAGCUGUAAACGAUGCUCGCUAGGUGUC
rnacentral:rRNA from 1 species